rnacentral:rRNA from 1 species
CCGGUCGCUCAUAGCGUAUAUUAAGUUGUUGCAGUUAAAAAGCUCGUAGUUGAACUUUGGGCUUGGAGAAUCGGUCCAACUUUGUUGUGUACUGUCUUCUCCAGGUCUUUCCUUCUGGUUCUCAUUUGGGGUUUACUCCAUUUGUUGAUCCAGGAUUUUUACUUUGAAAAAAUUAGAGUGUUCAAAGCAGGCGUUUUGCUCGAAUAUAUUAGCAUGGAAUAAUAGAAUAGGACGAUUGGUUCUAUUUUGUUGGUUUCUAGGACCAUCGUAAUGAUUAAUAGGGACGGUCGGGGGCAUCAGUAUUCAGUUGUCAGAGGUGAAAUUCUUGGAUUUACUGAAGACUAACUACUGCGAAAGCAUUUGUCAAGGACGUUUUCAUUAAUCAAGAACGAAAGUUAGGGGAUCGAAGACGUAAGAAUACCGUA